AGCUGAGGCACAGGAGUGCAGUGAUGAGCUGAGGAUGAAAGCAGUUCCCUCCAGCUCCAUUAGCUGAGCUUUCCUUGUGUUGUUAGGGGCAGCUGCAUCAGAACUCUGCACCUCUCAGUGUGUCAUCUCUAGGCUUACCCUCUUCUCUGUCCAGCUGGGCAGGAUGAGGCUCAUCCUGGAACAAGUGACUGGAUGGCUUCUGUGUAAUUAGUCACCACUCAUCAGCUGGCCUCCAGUAGUUGGCUAUAAGAAGCUAGUUGUCUGUCCUUAGUAAAAUGGCAUGAGCCACAAGAAAGGAGUAUUUUUUCUUUGCAGUGGGUGGGGGAAAUGAGAAUGGUCUGUUAAUGUGAUCAGCUGACAGAUGGUAACUCACAGGGGAUAAUUAACUGUUUGCUAGUACAGGAUGUCGAGUAUGUAACAAUGCUGUCAGCAAAGACGUCAACACAAGAAGAGGAUUGGGUGUGUGAUAUGGCUCAGAGAGGACCAGAGCAUGAGCUGGCUGCAAGGUGAUGCUAAAAGGAGGAUCUCUCCCUCCAGUCUGGAACUAACGAGGUGCCUGACAGAGAGCCAUCAAACCAAACGCACGGGAUCAUUUGUGGAGGUGUUUGUUUGAAGCUGAGUGGACAGGAAUCACGUUUCAGAGCCGUCAGGGCUGCGCCCCUCUGCCUGCACGAUGCUUUGUGUUGACCACCCUGCUCGGCUGAAGGAGAUGCAAAGUGGGAGAAGCAGAGGGUUCAGCCUCGAUGUCUGUCUGUCCGUCAGCUCCCUUCGGAAAGGUCCUGCUGGCUCCUGACUUGCCUCUUCUCAGAUCCUGGCCAACCUCUUGCAUCCAGGGCUACUUGGCAGAUGGGUGCUGUGCUGUGUUGGGUGGGAUUGCCCCUGAUGACCUCAGCCUGAUGAACACAGCUGUGUUGGAGCUGUACCCAGGGCAGGCCAGGUGCACCUUUCUGAAAGAGUUAUCUGGAGAAAUCCUGUGUUUCCAGAUAAGGAUGUACUGGAUUUACAAUUGCCUACCACUGUUAAUGCAUCCUCGUCUGUGUGGUCAUGUGAAGGUUGCUUUCCCAUUGACCAGAGGCAGACCCAUGGUUCAUCUGUGCACCCUUCUUAGAGCUGCUGAAGAGACUCAAAAUGGGGUGGUGGCCCCAUGUUCCUUCCUGGAGCGUGCUCUGCCUCAAGGGGCUUCCUUGUCUCCACUGCAGCAAGAUGCAGAGCCUGAACUAACCCUGAGCAAGGAACUGUGGCGUCCAGAAACAGCAGAUCUGCUUUAA
rnacentral:lncRNA from 1 species